rnacentral:rRNA from 1 species
CCUACGGGAGGCUGCAGUAGGGAAUAUUGCUCAAUGGGGGAAACCCUGAAGCAGCAACGCCGCGUGGAGGAUGAAGGUUUUCGGAUUGUAAACCUCUUUUGUUAGAGAAGAUAAUGACGGUACCUAACGAAUAAGCACCGGCUAACUCCGUGCCAGCAGCCGCGGUAAUACGGAGGGGGCAAGCGUUAUUCGGAAUCACUGGGCGUAAAGAGCGCGUAGGCGGGAUAGCAAGUCAGAUGUGAAAUCCUAUGGCUUAACCAUAGAACUGCAUUUGAAACUGGUAGUCUAGAGUAUGGGAGAGGCAGGUGGAAGUCUUGGUGUAGGGGUGAAAUGCGUAGAGAUCAAGAGGAAUACUCGUGGCGAAGGCGACCUGCUGGAACAUAACUGACGCUGAGGCGCGAAAGCGUGGGGAGCAAACAGGAUUAGAUACCCGAGUAGUC